AAAUUACCCACUCUCAGAACAGCUAGAGGAGGUAGUGACGAGAAAUAACGAGACCGUUCUCCUAAGAGGCCGGUCAUCGGAAUGGGUACUAUUUAAACCCUUUAACGAGUAUCUAUGAGAGGGCAAGUCUGGUGCCAGCAGCCGCGGUAAUUCCAGCUCUCAAAAUGCAUAGAAUUAUUGCUGCGGUUAAAAAGCUCGUAGUUGGAUCUGUGCCGCCGUGUCGGUCCAUCUUUCGGGAUGUGUACUGUUUCAUGGUGGCUUUCGUGCAGUUUGUUGGCUCUGUGCCCUUCACUGGGCGCAGGUGUCCGAUGCUGCAAGUUUACUUUGAACAAAUCAUAGUGCUCUAAACAGGCGUUUCGCUUGAAUGUUCGUGCAUGGAAUAAUAGAAGAAGAUUUCGGUUCUAUUUUAUUGGUUUUAUAGACUGAGAUAAUGGUUAACAGACACAAACGGGGGCAUUCGUAUUGCUACGUGAGAGGUGAAAUUCUUGGACCGUAACAAGACGAACUACAGCGAAAGCAUUUGCCAAGAAUGUCUUCAUUAAUCAAGAACGAAAGUCAGAGGUUCGAAGGCGAUCAGAUACCGCCCUAGUUCUGACCGUAAACGAUGCCAACUAGCGAUCCGCCGGUGGAAUUCUUGCCGUGGUGGGGAGCUUCCCGGAAACGAAAGUCUUCCGGUUCCGGGGGAAGUAUGGUUGCAAAGCUGAAACUUAAAGGAAUUGACG
rnacentral:rRNA from 1 species